AGUCCGAGUUGUAAUUUGCAGAGGGCGCUCCUCCCGUGUCGGCAGCGGUCCAAGUUCCUUGGAACAGGACGUCACAGAGGGUGAGAAUCCCGUACGUGGUCGCUGACCUACACCGUGUAAAGCCCCUUCGACGAGUCGAGUUGUUUGGGAAUGCAGCUCUAAAUGGGAGGUAAAUUUCUUCUAAAGCUAAAUACUGGCCAGAGACCGAUAGCGCACAAGUAGAGUGAUCGAAAGAUGAAAAGCACUUUGGAAAGAGAGUCAAACAGCACGUGAAAUUGUUGAAAGGGAAGCGCUUGCAGCCAGACUUGCUUGUAGUUGCUCAUCCGGGCUUUUGCCCGGUGCACUCUUCUGCGAGCAGGCCAGCAUCAGUUUGGGCGGUUGGAUAAAGGCCUCUGUCACGUACCUUCUCUCGGGAAGGCCUUAUAGGGGAGGCGUCAUGCAACCAGCCUGGACUGAGGUCCGCGCAUCUGCUAGGAUGCUGGCGUAAUGGCUGUAAGCGGCCCGUCUUGAAACACGGACCAAGGAGUCUAACAUCUAUGCGAGUGUUUGGGUGUCAAGCCCGAGCGCGCAAUGAAAGUGAACGGAGGUGGGAUCCCGCAAGGGUGCACCAUCGACCGAUCCUGAAGUCUUCGGAUGGAUUUGAGUAAGAGCAUGGCUGUUGGGACCCGAAAGAUGGUGAACUAUGCUUGAAUAGGGUGAAGCCAGAGGAAACUCUGGUGGAGGCCUCGCAGCGGUUCUGACGUG
rnacentral:rRNA from 1 species